CUUUAAUUGAAUGAGGAAGAGCACACAGUUACGUGUUGGAGGAUUGAGGUGCCACGGUUGGAAGCAAAGAGGAGAAGGUUGAUUUGUUUUAGUGGAGUAAGGAAAGGGAGUGUAUUGAUUGACAGAGAAUAGAGGAGAAAGCUACCACGGGAAGGCCACGGAGAAAGGCUACCCCACUUUCAUUUUCUUUGGAUUAAACAUUUUGAAGAUUUAUUUACUUUGAGAAAUGAUGAAGUAGAUUAUCUUUGCUGGAAUGCUCAACAUGUCACGGCUAGAGAGGACUUUUAGAAGCAUUUGCAAUUUCAAAUCCUUUUGGUAGAUGCACAUGGGUCACGGUUAAUGGUAGAGAAAAAUUUAUUUUCUUUUAUUUCUUUUGCCUAAGAAUGGUUUACAUUAUAGGUUGAAUUGAUUUUCUUCUUUUUGGUGGUGAAUUGUGUUUGGAUAUUUAUCUGUUGC
rnacentral:sRNA from 1 species